rnacentral:rRNA from 1 species
AUUGAACGCUGGCGGCAUGCUUUACACAUGCAAGUCGAACGGCAGCACGGGGCAACCUGGUGGCGAGUGGCGAACGGGUGAGUAAUACAUCGGAACGUGCCCAAUCGUGGGGGAGAACGUAGCGCAAGUUACGCUAAUACCGCAUACGAUCUAUGGAUGAAAGCGGGGGAUCGCAAGACCUCGCGCGAAUGGAGCGGCCGAUGUCAGAUUAGGUAGUUGGUGGGGUAAAGGCUCACCAAGCCAACGAUCUGUAGCUGGUCUGAGAGGACGACCAGCCACACUGGGACGGAGACACGGCCCAGACUCCUACGGGAGGCAGCAGUGGGGAAUUUUGGACAAUGGGCGCAAGCCUGAUCCAGCCAUUCCGCGUGCAGGAUGAAGGCCUUCGGGUUGUAAACUGCUUUUGUACGGAACGAAACGGUUCUCUCUAAUACAGGGGGCUAAUGACGGUACCGUAAGAAUAAGCACCGGCUAACUACGUGCCAGCAGCCGCGGUAAGAC